UGCAGGAUUCUCAUGAGGACAAAUUAGAGCACCUGUCACUAUAGCCAGCACUCAAGAAAUGGGAUUAUCAUCAGAGGGAAAAAUGCACAGCCUCACCAGCUAUUAAACAUAUGGAAAUGAUGACAAUUUAAAGCUUAUAAAUAACAUUAGCGGUGGCUUGGAUUUAUUGUUGUGGCCUCCGGAAGAACUUGGGCACAGUGUAACUUCCUGGGGCCCGAGGUUGUUAAUCGGUGAAUUGUUCAUGAAGGACAGUGCUCACUGUGAAGGUGGGUGUCCUGGGAUGCUCUGCCUGGCCCGCGGGAGACAAGGCUAUGGUCUGACAUCCCUCAGCCUGUCCUCAUUGUCCUGGCUCUGAGAAGAAGCUACAAAACACAGUAGAAGAAAAAGAAAACAGUCUUUUAAAGACUUGUAAUGAGUUGUUAAUGAUAAAAGUAACACAUGCCAA
rnacentral:lncRNA from 10 species